UCAGCAUGACAUGGCACUAUAUCGGGUUGUACGACUGAGUGGGAAGAUGUUCAUAUAGCGGAGAACACAGAUCAACAUUGCCACACACGAGAAGAAUACUGGGCGGGUCUACACUACAGAUGGAUCUGACUCGACCUGGUUGGAGUGGCAGGCUGAAACACAAUGCCUUUUCCCCUCUGGUGAACCACACCCUUUUCUCCCCAGGACUACUAGCGUCCUGGCUGGCAAACAAGAAAGGGGCGGGUUCCUAU